GACGAACGCUGGCGGCGUGCCUAAUACAUGCAAGUAGAACGCUGAAGAGAGGAGCUUGCUCUUCUUGGAUGAGUUGCGAACGGGUGAGUAACGCGUAGGUAACCUGCCUUGUAGCGGGGGAUAACUAUUGGAAACGAUAGCUAAUACCGCAUAACAAUGGAUGACACAUGUCAUUUAUUUGAAAGGGGCAAUUGCUCCACUACAAGAUGGACCUGCGUUGUAUUAGCUAGUAGGUGAGGUAAUGGCUCACCUAGGCGACGAUACAUAGCCGACCUGAGAGGGUGAUCGGCCACACUGGGACUGAGACACGGCCCAGACUCCUACGGGAGGCGGCAGUAGGGAAUCUUCGGCAAUGGGGGCAACCCUGACCGAGCAACGCCGCGUGAGUGAAGAAGGUUUUCGGAUCGUAAAGCUCUGUUGUAAGUCAAGAACGGGUGUGAGAGUGGAAAGUUCACACUGUGACGGUAGCUUACCAGAAAGGGACGGCUAACUACGUGCCAGCAGCCGCGGUAAUACGUAGGUCCCGAGCGUUGUCCGGAUUUAUUGGGCGUAAAGCGAGCGCAGGCGGUUUGAUAAGUCUGAAGUUAAAGGCUGUGGCUCAACCAUAGUUCGCUUUGGAAACUGUCAAACUUGAGUGCAGAAGGGGAGAGUGGAAUUCCAUGUGUAGCGGUGAAAUGCGUAGAUAUAUGGAGGAACACCGGUGGCGAAAGCGGCUCUCUGGUCUGUAACUGACGCUGAGGCUCGAAAGCGUGGGGAGCGAACAGGAUUAGAUACCCUGGUAGUCCACGCCGUAAACGAUGAGUGCUAGGUGUUGGAUCCUUUCCGGGAUUCAGUGCCGCAGCUAACGCAUUAAGCACUCCGCCUGGGGAGUACGACCGCAAGGUUGAAACUCAAAGGAAUUGACGGGGGCCCGCACAAGCGGUGGAGCAUGUGGUUUAAUUCGAAGCAACGCGAAGAACCUUACCAGGUCUUGACAUCCCGAUGCUAUUUCUAGAGAUAGAAAGUUACUUCGGUACAUCGGUGACAGGUGGUGCAUGGUUGUCGUCAGCUCGUGUCGUGAGAUGUUGGGUUAAGUCCCGCAACGAGCGCAACCCCUAUUGUUAGUUGCCAUCAUUCAGUUGGGCACUCUAGCGAGACUGCCGGUAAUAAACCGGAGGAAGGUGGGGAUGACGUCAAAUCAUCAUGCCCCUUAUGACCUGGGCUACACACGUGCUACAAUGGUUGGUACAACGAGUUGCGAGUCGGUGACGGCGAGCUAAUCUCUUAAAGCCAAUCUCAGUUCGGAUUGUAGGCUGCAACUCGCCUACAUGAAGUCGGAAUCGCUAGUAAUCGCGGAUCAGCACGCCGCGGUGAAUACGUCCCCGGGCCU
rnacentral:rRNA from 1 species